rnacentral:rRNA from 1 species
GACGAACCGUGCGAACGUUGUUCGGAAUCACUGGGCUUAAAGGGCGCGUAGGCGGGCCCUCAAGUCCGGGGUGAAAUCCUCCCGCCUAACGGGAGAAGAGCCUCGGAGACUGAGGGACUCGAGGGGGGUAGGGGCGUGCGGAACUAUGGGUGGAGCGGUGAAAUGCAUUGAUAUCCAUAGGAACUCCGGUGGCGAAGGCGGCACGCUGGACCCCUUCUGACGCUGAGGCGCGAAAGCCAGGGGAGCAAACGGG